GAGGAAUAUUGGUCAAUGGGAGCAAUCCUGAACCAGCAAUGCCGCGUGUGGGAUGAAGGCGCUUCGCGUCGUAAACCACUGUCGGACGGGACGAAAGGAGCUAUGAAGCUCUAGGACGGUACCGUCAAAGGAAGGAUCGGCUAACUACGUGCCAGCAGCCGCGGUAAUACGUAGGAUCCAAGCGUUGUCCGGAUUUACUGGGUAUAAAGGGUGCGUAGGCGGCCUUGUGCGUCAGAGGUGAAAUCUCCGGGCUUAACCCGGAGGGUGCCUUUGAUACGGCAGGGCUUGAGUGCGAGAGAGGAUGAUGGAAUUCCUGGUGUAGCGGUGAAAUGCGUAGAUAUCAGGAGGAACACCGGUGGCGAAGGCGGUCAUCUGGCUCGAAACUGACGCUGAGGCACGAAAGCGUGGGGAUCAAAC
rnacentral:rRNA from 1 species